AUGUACACUCACCCCAUCUCUCUUUCUUCUCUUUCAACGUGCCUCUUCCUCUGCCUUCUCCCAUGUACACUCACCCUAUCUCUCUCUCUCUCUCUCUCUCAAUUUCAACGCUCCUCUUCCUCUGCCUUCUCCCAUGUACACUCACCCCAUCUCUCUUUCUUCUCUUUCAACGCUCCUCUUCCUCUGCCUUCUCCCAUGUACACUUCAUCUACCUCUCACUUCUCGUUUAAUCUUGCUUUCCCCAAUCCUCCACAUGAAAACCUACCUUCCUCUCUCAUCUCCCUCUUUCUACCAUUACCUCCAUAUUUUCUCCUUCUCUUAUCCCACCCAACUCUCUUCUCGUCUCUCCGUGCAUCCCUCCAAACCCCUCUUCCCCCACCACUCGUAUUUUUUCUCCGUGUCCUCCACCCCCCGUAUCCCCUCCUCCAUCCAUCCUCCCUUACAGGGCACCACCUCUCUCCACAGACUCUGAAAUGGAGGGAGUAUCGUCAAAAGAACCCAUUAGGGGUGGAGAGGUGUUCCUUGGGGGGCUCUGCAGGGUCAGGCGAUCCGCCUCUAUCAGGCAGUCUGGACGGGAACGGUCGUAGGGGCGGGGCCGUUGGUCAGCGAAUCACACGACGGAACGUGUUUGACUUCCCUCCGGCCUCUAGUGGACACACCCCCCUGGGACGACUCAAUGGUGUUCAUAUACUACUAACCCUAUUGAUCAGGCGCUGUGUGUGUGUGUGUGUGUGUGUGUGUGUGUGUGUGUGUGUGUGUGUGUGUGUGUGUGUGUGUGUGUGUGUGUGUGUGUGUGUGUGUGUGCGUGCAGGGCCGUGCACAGCCAUUUUUUUUAUUUUUUAAAUAUUAUUUCUUUAACACCACAAUCAUCACAAAUUGUAAGCCAGCUAGUUACACUGCCUCCUAAAGACGUGAUUGACAUCAGGAACAGAAGGUGGGCUGUCAGCUGAUGUUGAUGAUUGAUGUAAAUAUGCUAGUUAGCUAGCUACUAUAUUUCUUUACUGAUUGUGAAGGUGGGCUGGCAGCUGAUGUUGAUGAUUGAUGUAAAUAUGCUAGUUAGCUAGCUACUAUAUUUCUUUACUGAUUGUGAAGGUGGGCUGGCAGCUGAUGUUGAUGAUUGAUGUAAAUAUGCUAGUUAGCUAGCUACUAUAUUUCUUUACUGAUUGUGACUCAUCUUCAAUGCUCUUAAAUAAUAACUUCAUACUAUAGCCUAAUAUUCAUAAUUGUUUAACUAAUGGUAUAUGACUGGCUUGUAUGUAUAUUUUAGUAUUAUGUGACUGACCAGCUCGAUUCGGACUUAUGUAGCAAAAUUUGAAACUGUGUUUUUUACAUUGGAUAAAAGUAGCGACUCAGAGCUACAAAAUGAUAUAUCAUACACUACAGUUGAGGAACAAUGGGAAAGUAAUUCUGCUUUGAAAGUUGAUCAACUUGUAACCUCACUUUUGAGAAAAUGGCCCUUGAAUGUUUUGGUACCUACUGGAGAGCUCUUCUUUGUCUACACCCAUUCAGCAUUGUUCACACCCUCUUAAGCUUUAGCCCCACCCAUCUCUUUAAGGAUUCACAUGUGAGGCUAUGUACAUUUCAAGGUUAGUUUGUACAGUGGUUCCUCCUUUAACAGUUGCAAGUUUACGCCGCCAUACUUUGAGGUAAUUUGUGGUUUAGUACGGUACCCUGCAUCACCUCUUCAUUGCUCCAGACCACCACAAGGGGGAGUUAGAGCACUGAUUAUGCUUUUGGGUCCUACUGUGUCUCUAACUGACAAUGAAUGGACGACAAACCUAAAUAGAAACUGAUAAUUGUGCACAACUUCAGUGUUACUUACUGAAACUGUUGUUACACUAAGGUUUUUAUAAAAUUAUUUUGGUCUUACUGUAGUACUGUAGGCCACUCCCGACAAGUCACAUUGUACACGCCUGAGUGGUGCAACGGUUUAAGUGUUGCUACAGAUGCUGGUUCAAUACCCGUGCUGGCCUUGACUGGGAGACCCGUGAGAUGACAGUAGGUUAUUGUUUUUUCUCUAUCUAAAAACAGAAAUAAAUAAUUCAAAAUAACAAACAGGCUUUAUUUACAAAUUAGUAACAAUGUCUCACCCCAUGUUCAAGAAUGGCCUUUUUCUCGCUCAUUUUAGGUCAUUUCAAAACGAAAUCAUCCCCCACCCCGCCACACUGGCAACACUUUAAGGGGCAUUGCACUACUAAUGGUGCUGACUAGGGAAACCUUCCCACUGUUCUGUCCGUAGUGCCAGUCUGCACCUUCAAACUAAAGCAAUCUUUAUGCUUUCAUUAAUAAAAUGAUGAUAAAAAUACUCCCAAUGUUUAUUUAGUUAUGGAUCCAUAAUGAAUUACUAUGGGAAUAAAUAUUACUGAAUUACAGAAAUAUCCUCCAAUCCUCAAUAUGUAAUUAUGGGAGGAGAGUCACAUCAUAUUUUUUUUAUAUCUUACCGUAGGCGACACGAGUCUCACUAGUGUUGAGUAAUAUGCUGUUAAAAGUGGUGUAGGUCUUAUUUAUUUAAAGAGCAAAUUUGAAUAUACUCCCAAAGGGUUUUUGUUUUCCUUGUAAUAGAAACACCAUAAUAUUAAUUGAAUGAAUUAAGCAACUACCAAUCAAACGUUUGGACACACCUACUCAUUCCAGUGUUUUUCUUUAUUUUGAAUUUUUUCUACAUUGUAGAAUAAUAGUGAAGACAUCACAACUAUGAAAUAACACAUAUGGAAUCAGUUAAGAAUUCUUAUUUACAAGGACAGCUUACUCCUUCCUCGCCGUUGGGGAAUUGAACCCCGGUCUCCCACAUUCUUCAGUACAGCCAUUAUUGAAGGCGUUCAAAUGCUUCUCAAAGAUGCCCUCUGGUGGUCAAACUAGCACUAAUUAACAUUAAUGGUACCAGUGGUUGGCAUUAACGUGCAUAACGUGCCAUAGAAUUCUGCGGCACCAUGCUAGCUGCGCCGCAACUUUUAAAGGAGGAACAACCUACAGGUGUGUUCGUAAAUUUAAUCUGGAGUGCCAGAGUGUGCUCUGGGAGUUUGUAAACUCAGCGUUGUCAGAUUGUUCUGUUCGUAAAUUUAAUCUGGAGUGCCAGAGUGUGCUCUGGGAGUUUGUAAACUCAGCAUUGUCAGAUUGUUCUGUUCGUAAAUUCUGAACACUCGGAGCAUUCAGAGCGAACACUGGACGCUCGGCCCGAGAAGUAGGGUUGAUCCGGGCAUUCUGUCCUGACAACAGCAGUCAAGCACCCAAGCUAACUGGCUAAUGUUGGCUAGCUUGCUAGCUACUUCCAGACACAAAUGAAAGAACAGCUCACGCUGACCAUUUUACUCACCCUAGCAGAGCUGGUUAAGCUGUUUUUAUGUUAUUCAGAGUGUUGUUGGGGACUGCAACUGUGCUGUUGGAAACAAUUUAAUGACGCUUUUUUUUGCCAAAGUUUCCUGACACCAGCCAUAUUCAACGGGUUUUGAGCGUUCGUAAAUUCGUCAGUUAUUCUGUGUUCUGACACACUCAGACGAGAGUUCUCUGAAAUCGGAGUAGAUAGCCAGAGCGACAUUCAAAUGGCGCUCCUGUGAAGUAGUGACGCGCGACAUAGCGCCUAGUUUCCUGAAACGAGACACAUAUGGUGGUUAGCCAGAGUCCAGAAAGUGAGCAUGAGAGGGGGUUGACCUGGGGAGCUCUGAGGUACCAGAACAUGAGAGGAGGUGACCUGGGGAGCUCUAAGGUACCGGAACUUGAGAGGGGUUGACCUGGGGAGCUCUGAGGUACCAGAACAUGAGAGGAGGUGACCUGGGGAGCUCUGAGGUACCAGAACAUGAGAGGAGGUGACCUGGGGAGCUCUGAGGUACCAGAACAUGAGAGGGGGUGACCUGGGGAUCUCUCAGAUAUUUUAUUAUCUUAUCGAUUACAGUCUUCCAUUAAUGUCUUCCUCGUCAGUCUCAUUCCUGAAUGUCGCAAACCCUUGGACAUAUGUACCAACCCUAGCAUAGAUCAUGAAUCAGGCUUCAUUAUUUAUUUACUAACUAACUAACCAAUCACAUAAUUACAUAAACACACACACACAAUAGUUAUACAUUGGUUACUCACAUGAUACACUGAAAAGUCCCAAGGAGGGCUAAACCGAUAUGAUGGCUUUGUAGACAAAGGAAAGGGGUGGGGGCAGUUCAAGAGAGGGAAACUGAGUGGACCCACAUACAUACAGUUGACUACACUCAUGGAAAUGCUAAUACUUUGAACAUGCACAGCCGCUCAUUCGAAAAGAAAUUGCAAUUUACAUAUUUACAGGUGUUGUGCCUCUCUGUGAUCGCCGGUUCUUCUGCUGCAUAGUGAGUCAACAGAAAGUCUCUGGUUUGUCCACCAGAGAUCAAAGUCUUUCGUAGUUGUAGCUUGUUAUAAUGGAUACGUUGGGCGUAUCAUUCGGUCGUUCGAUAACGAAUGGAUCUUUCAGAGUACCAUUGUUCUUAGAAUUGAUCUGUUAGAAUAGAUGCUUGCGGUAGUUGUCGGUAUCCUCAUCUUAGACUUACGCACAUUUUCAGCUGCAGACUGGUAAAGCUGCGUCGAGGACUUGCUCCUUCUGUGGCAAUCUAUUGGUUUCUAUUGUCUAAACCAUUUUGCAACAUCUGGCGCCCGCCUUAGUCUGCUUGGUCUAUAGAGUGGUAGCGAUUUCAAUGUGGGAACCCCGUCCCUGCGAUCACAUUAACUUUCCAAAAGUAUUCUUGUGCUUAAUCAUUUAUUUGAUACAACGUUCAGAUGCAAAUCCCAUAAUUGAGUACUGUAUACAAACAAAGAAACAUGAAUGUGUUUCUCCUGUCCUUCAUGAGGUCACAAAAUGAAACAAACAGUCCUUAAAGUGUCCACGGACCGGUUCCACAUUCUCAAAAAAACAUCCUCCAAUUUUGGGGAUGUAGGAGUUUUGGCAAGUCCCUCUCUAUGUCCCACAGUCACACAUUCCAAUCCCAAUACUACGGUGCCCAGAGGCAGAGUAUUUUACGCCCGCCAUAACGCUGCCACCUCCACCUCUCCCCCUCUGCGGGAGAGAGAGAGAGCUGUAGUAAGAGCCACUGUAACCUGAUCCUUCACAUCUUCACAGGAGAGUCAUGACACAGGGCAGCCUGGGAAAAGGGCAGAACCGGGCCCACGCAAGCUCCGUACAGGUCAACGGACAGGGUAAGGGUAGGGGCUGGUGAACUUGAUGACGUCAAACAACAAUUUGGGGUCAGUAGGUUCAGAAGAAAAACAACAAAAACUGUAUAAAAAAAUAAAUAAUAAUUAUACCACCACUGAAAAGGGCAUUUGGCGAGUGGGAGGGCAAAGUGGCAGGUGCUGGGCACAGGUAGACCCUAUCUGUGCACGUGCCUGUGUGUGUGUGCGUGUGUGUGUGUGUGUGUUUAUUCAUGUAUAGUGUCCAAAGACAUCGCUGCCAGUGUGUGUGAUGAGUGUAUGUCGAGCAUGUGUGUUUUCUCAUCCUAUGUGUGUGUGUACUUAUCCUACAUGUGUGUGUUCUUAUCCUACGUGUGUGUGUUCUUAUCCUAUGUGUGUGUACUUAUCCUACGUGUGUGUGUACUCAUCCUACGUGUGUGUGUUCUUAUCCUACGUGUGUGUGUUCUUAUCCUACGUGUGUGUGUCCUCAUCCUACCUGUGUGUGUACUCAUCCUACCUGUGUGUGUACUCAUCCUACCCGUGUGUGUACUCAUCCUACGUGUGUGUGUUCUUAUCCUAC
rnacentral:lncRNA from 13 species